UUAGAUGAAAGGUAAGUAUCUUAUUAGUUGCUUUGUUUCGUGAAAUUCACUUUAGGACCAGGUUUAGAUUGAAGUAAACCAUUGAACCAAAUGAGUCCUUUUCUUUUUAAAACAAACAAAAAAAGAGGCUAAGAAAUCUAAGUAGAGAUUUCUCUUCCUCUCAACCUCCUUAUUAGCUUACCUUGUGGCAAAGACCGUUUAAUCCCAUAUAAAUAUAUACACACAUAACUAACUAUGCACAACAGAAAUAUGCAUUUACUCAAAUUCCGCAAACCCCCCACUCUAUUGUAAUUUCUAUAACUUGAUUUUUCUCCUUCUCAUCAAGAAACUGCCUUCCGGAUGCUAUAUAUAGUUCUAUCGCAUUCAAUAUUCUAUAUAUCUUUCUUGAACAUCUUUUAGUUAUUUUCUAAAAGAGGAGCGCAUCGGUUCUCUUAAACCUCUUCAUCUGCUCUUGAUUAUCACCACUUACCACUUACAACUUACCAAGUUCGUGUGACUUAUAUUCUUCUCUGCUUCAAAAUAGUUCUACAUAACAUAAGGAAGUUUUCAGAGAUGGGAAAGUCAUUUCAUGUUGAGUUCAAUGUGUCUGAUCCGAGUCUUCGUUUCUACAUGUGCCGUAUCUGCCAAAACCAUGUCGCUCUCAGCGAAGAUUUCAGCCUUAACUACACCGUAAUCUUUUUCUCUUUCCCUCUGUCAAUUUGUCAUUCUUGAGUCAAACUAAUUUAGCGUUGUAAUAGCUGAACGAUCUGUAAUAGUGUUGCUGAUCUUUCAAUUCCGAAUAUUAAAUGAAAAUAUAUUUAAUUAGACACAUCAGAUACGUAAUGCGCAUAUCAUAUUCGCGAGCUUACAAAGUUUUGGAUAUUCUUCUCUUGAAAAAUGACGGCUGCGAUUCUAUUUGGAUAAGUUUCUAGGCUUAAUGGCAUUUCAUGCACAAAGAACUUUGGUCUGUCUCUUCUCCCUUUCUUCUUUUGCCGUCCAUUUCUCAAGUACCCCCAACAUUAUCUUUCUUCUAUAAUUUUGCAAGAAUGUGCAAGAACAUCAAUUUAUACGUCUAUAAAAAAGAUAGACAGAAUGAUCAAGAAAAUGUAUACCCAUUUAGCAUUUAGGAAGUAGAAAUACUAUCUUGUAAUGCCUGCGAUUUAUGAGCUUUUUACUCGACGUUACAUGUUUUCUAUAUUUAAUCGAAGAGUAAGCUUCAUACUACUAUACUAGACUGAGUAGACUGCACUAAUAAUUAACUGGUGCAAUAAUAUGUAUAUCAUAUCAUGUAGAUAGAAAUAACGGUUCUUAUUUCAUUUAUCUACUGUUGUGUGUUUUUCAGCCAGCAACCGGGGUGACUGGAGGUGUAUUUGAUAAAGUGGUGAAUGUGCAUGUAAACGAAGCAGAGCAGCAGAGGCAACUUGGUCUUCACACAGUAGCAGAUGUCUACUGUAAUAAAUGCGAGAAUCUCCUCGGAUGGAAAUUUAUUGAGGUAUUUGAAGAGGAUCCAGUGGCAACAAAAGACAUGGUUAUGUUGCAAAUGGGGAAGCUGCAGGAAAGGAAUGGAAACCAAAUACAACAAGCAGUGGAACCAAUCACAAAUACAGCUACAGGAAGCGCCAGUAGUUGAAGAAAUAUAAACCUACCAAAGCAUAGAAAAUUCUUGCAAGGAGAUCUCUUGAAGAAAUCAAUCGACUUCUAUAGAAGAUGAAACUUCAGAUGCUCUUUACUUUGUAUUUUUCCCUAUUUUUCUCACCGAGUCUUUCAUGAACUUUGUACAAUUCUUUCCAUUGCUAUAUGUACCCUAAUAUGGUGCUGCAACAUUCCACACCCGUGAUUGAACAAGAACAGGGAUUUACACACUUUCCUUUUUGCUGAAAGAGGGAUUUGAACGCCAGUUUAGAAUACUGAUACACAGUUUGCUGAAGUUUUGCACCGAUACCAUGAUAAACUAUUAUCAUGCUUCACGAUUGUAGCCUCUGAAUGGGGCUCUAGAGCAUGAAGUUGCAACUCUGAACCUACGGGAUCUAAGUUCACUCAAAAACUUGAUAACCAGAGGUAUAUCCAUUACAGUCUAUCCAACGUGGCUUAUAUCCUCAUAUUUGACCCAGUUCUUUGAUAUUUAAUCACUAUAUUUUUUUUCCCUUUCUGAACCUGAUGAAUCUCCAAAGCUAUACCAUUAGACAAUCAAGGACCAACCUGGCUCAUAAGCAUAUUUCCAGCAUUCCCAACCUCAGCCAAACAUAUUAAGAGGAAGGCGUUGUAUAGGGGAGUCUGGGAUUGCCUGUAGUCAAGCAAUUCUGCAUCUUAAGACUAAGAAUGAGAUCUCUUCAUUAGUAUGACUCGUGCAGUCUAGCAGUUGCUCAACAAAGGAGGUAGUCAACUAAUUUACUCCCUCCCUUUCUAUCCCACACUAACCAAAGGAACAGAAGCUGCUGAUUGAAGAGCUUAAAUAUCAGUUUUCUACACUGUCCACUCUUUUAAAUAUAGGAUAAAUUUUUUUUACUUGUCAGCUUUCUCAAACUCAAGACUAUAAAUCAAGGAUUAUCUUCUGGAAAUUACUAAAAUGAAGAUCAAUGCCAUCUCCCAAGAGUUUUUUUUUCUUUUUUUUUUCUACCUAAUAGUGAGUACUGUAUACUAGAUUGAAAUUUUAUUUGCCAGGAAAGGAAGUGAAGAUAUCGCUUAGCAACUCUUCAUUUUCCUGUGUGUUAAUCUUACGCAACAGAUUAGUUGACUUGCAUUAUAAGAGUUACAUACAUUGGCAUAAACUGGGAGAAUAUAUUAUUUGAUCAACAAAGAUACACUCGAUAAAACCUCAACGGUAACAAGACUAAAUGCACAGAAGGAAUGACGUUAAACUUCCAAUGCUAACAACAGAGAAUUUCAAACACUUGCCUUUCCAACAACAAAUAAAAGCCAAAUAUCCAGAGUUUCAAGUGUAUGCACUGCUAGCUUGAUUCACGAUAGCUAACGCCAAAAGAUUAUUUUGAAAAGCACAAUGCGAGGACAAAACUCUACAAAGUGCUAAA